rnacentral:rRNA from 1 species
AGGUAUCUACCCUUUGGCCUGGAAUAACACGAGGAAACUUGUGCUAAUACCGGAUAAGUCUUUACGGAGAAAGCUUUAUGCACCAUUGGAUGAGCCUGCACUUGAUUAGUUUGUUGGUGGGGUAAUGGCCUACCAAGACUGUGAUCAAUAGCUGAUUUGAGAGGAUGAUCAGCCACAUUGGGACUGAGACACGGCCCAAACUCCUACGGGAGGCAGCAGUGGGGAAUCUUGCACAAUGGAGGAAACUCUGAUGCAGCGAUGCCGCGUGAGUGAAGAAGGCCCUUGGGUUGUAAAGCUCUUUCGUCGGGGAAGAAAAUGACUGUACCCGAAUAAGAAGGUCCGGCUAACUUCGUGCCAGCAGCCGCGGUAAUACGAAGGGACCUAGCGUAGUUCGGAAUUACUGGGCUUAAAGAGUUCGUAGGUGGUUGAAAAAGUUAGUGGUGAAAUCCCAGAGCUUAACUCUGGAACUGCCAUUAAAACUUUUCAGCUAGAGUAUGAUAGAGGAAAGCAGAAUUUCUAGUGUAGAGGUGAAAUUCGUAGAUAUUAGAAAGAAUACCAAUUGCGAAGGCAGCUUUCUGGAUCAUUACUGACACUGAGGAACGAAAGCAUGGGUAGCGAAGAGGAUUAGAUACCCUCGUAGUCCAUGCCGUAAACGAUGUGUGUUAGACGUUGGAAAUUUAUUUUCAGUGUCGCAGCGAAAGCGAUAAACACACCGCCUGGGGAGUAC